rnacentral:rRNA from 1 species
UACGUAGGGGGGCUAGCGUUGUCCGGAAUCAUUGGGCGUAAAGCGCGCGUAGGCGGCCAGAUAAGUCCGGUGUGAAAGUCACAGGCUCAACCUGUGAAUGCCGCUGGAAACUGUCUGGCUAGAGUCCGGAAGGGGCGAGUGGAAUUCCUGGUGUAGCGGUGAAAUGCGCAGAUAUCAGGAGGAACACCAAUGGCGAAGGCAGCUCGCUGGGACGGUACUGACGCUGAGGCGCGAAAGCGUGGGGAGCAAACAGG